UGCCCCGUGGCUGAGUUGGUUACAGCGUCCGACUGUUACCUUGUAUGCCGAUUAUCGGAAGGUCGUGAGUUCGAGCCUCACCGGGGCAG